GACACCAAAAUAAAAGCACAGAUCGAUCAGCAGCUUCUGAUUGGCUCAUGUAAAUGAAAAAUCAAUCAAUCAAUAUGUUAACUGAUGUGCUGAUUAUCAGCUCAGCUCAGGUGUAAUGAUACAACAUAAAGAGGUCCCGCCCCUUUCACACUCUACUCUGUUCUGACUGGCCAACACCAGAGCACUCUCCAGCAGGAAUCUGACCAAAAACAUGGCUGCUGGUUAAUCAGACCAACACAGGUCAAAAUCUGAGCUGCUGCAAAGCUGACGGUCAGACUGACCUCAUGGCGAUCCUCCUGAAUCACCGCAAAGACCAUCUGCAAGUAAACACCACAGGAAGUGACCUGCCUGCACCUUCUCAGCAGGUGGCAGCCUGUGACUGGGUAGCGGAGAAAGCGCCGCUCCACACUGAGCGCAGAACUGAGCGAACGGGUCAGAGGGGCGGCGAUGCAGACAGCGAGCACACCUGAAUGCACAGAAACUGUUGGUUCAUCAGGUUUACAGUGUGAAGCCGAAACUCUGUUUGAUGAGCUGUCCACAAACUUUUGGCUCUGAUGGAGGGCUGUACCGUGUGGUCGUACCGCAGGAAGUCGGUGUCUCGCUGCACUCUUGUCGUCUCCGUGCUCUUCAGCUGCCUCAGGUCACCUGACCCCCUAAAAACCGCAGGCUGGGAGCGGUGAGAUGAGACGAGCUGGGCGCCGAUCUCAGAGCCAUGACGACCGUACAGAAAACGAGGGCCUGACUGAA